UUACUGGAAUGGGUUAUGGCUUAAACCUAUAUGGCCUCUGGAUUGGACUGCGGCCGAUCAGGCUGUUGGUGAGGUAAUGGCCCACCAAACCUGUUACCGGUACGGGCUCUGAGAGGAGGAGCCCGGAGAUGGGCACUGAGACAAGGGCCCAGGCCCUAUGGGGCGCAGCAGGCGCGAAACCUCUGCAAUAGGCGAAAGCCUGACAGGGUUACUCUGAGUGAUUCCCGCUAAGGGGAUCUUUUGGCACCUCUAAAAAUGGUGCAGAAUAAGGGGUGGGCAAGUCUGGUGUCAGCCGCCGCGGUAAUACCAGCACCCCGAGUGGUCGGGACGAUUAUUGGGCCUAAAGCAUCCGUAGCCGGUCAUGCAAGUCCUCCGUUAAAUCCACCUGCUUAACAGAUGGGCUGCGGAGGAUACUACAAGGCUAGGAGGCGGAAGAGGCAAGCGGUACUCAGUGGGUAGGGGUAAAAUCCUCUGAUCCAUUGAAGACCACCAGUGGCGAAGGCGGCUUGCCAAUACGCGCUCGACGGUGAGGGAUGAAAGCUGGGGGAGCAAACCGGAUUAGAUACCCGGGUAGUCCCAGCCGUAAACGAUGCAGACUCGGUGAUGGGCCGGCUUUAUGCCGGCUCAGUGCCGCAGGGAAGCCGUUAAGUCUGCCGCCUGGGGAGUACGGUCGC
rnacentral:rRNA from 1 species